rnacentral:rRNA from 1 species
UAAUGAAACUGCCUACGCAAGUAGUGAGGAAGGUGGGGAGUGACGUCAAAUCAGCACGGCCCUUACGUCCAGGGCUACACACGUGCUACAAUGGCCGGUACAAAGGGCAGGCUACCUGGUGACAGGAUGCUAAUCUACAAAAGCCGGUCUCAGUUCGGAUCGGAGUCUGCAACCCGACUCCGUGAAGCUGGAAUCGCUAGUAAUCGUGGAUCAGCAUGCCACGGUGAAUACGUUCCCGGGCCUU